UACGUAGGCAGCGAGCGUUGUUCGGAGUUACUGGGCGUAAAGAGUGCGUAGGCGGUUUUCUAAGUUUGGUGUGAAAUCUCCCGGCUUAACUGGGAGGGUGCGCCGAAAACUGGAAGGCUUGAGUAUGGGAGAGGUAAGCGGAAUUCCUGGUGUAGCGGUGAAAUGCGUAGAUAUCAGGAGGAACACCUGCGGUGUAGACGGCUUACUGGACCGACACUGACGCUGAGGCGCGAAAGCUAGGGGAGCAAACGGG
rnacentral:rRNA from 1 species